UUAAGUACUUGUGUUUGCAGAGGACUCGGGGUCAGAAGAGGAAGCGAGUCUCCAUAUGUGAGGAUGAGAAGUUAGAGGAACAGCCCCAGCGUGAGCGGCGCCAGAGGCAGGCUGCCCUGCUGAAGAAGCCCAAAGCAGACGACACCAGAACCGACUGCGUGAGCUGCGCCGGGCCCGGAGACAACGACAACCUCGUCAGGUUGUGAGAGAGCUGGGCCUCCACCCACCACCCCUUCCUCUCCUCUCCUCCUCUGGUCCUCUCCUCCUCCUCCUCCUCCUCUCCUCCUCUGCUCCUUCUCUCUUCC